AACGAACGCUGGCGGCAGGCCUAACACAUGCAAGUCGAACGGGACCUUCGGGUCUAGUGGCGGACGGGUGAGUAACGCGUGGGAACGUGCCCUUUGGUUCGGAAUAGCCCCGGGAAACUGGGAGUAAUACCGGAUAAGCCCUACGGGGGAAAGAUUUAUCGCCAAAGGAUCGGCCCGCGUUGGAUUAGGUAGUUGGUGAGGCAAUGGCUCACCAAGCCGACGAUCCAUAGCUGGUUUGAGAGGAUGAUCAGCCACACUGGGACUGAGACACGGCCCAGACUCCUACGGGAGGCAGCAGUGGGGAAUCUUAGACAAUGGGGGAAACCCUGAUCUAGCCAUGCCGCGUGAUCGAUGAAGGCCUUAGGGUUGUAAAGAUCUUUCAGUGGGGAAGAUAGUGACUGUACCCACAGAAGAAGCCCCGGCUAACUCCGUGCCAGCCGCCGCCGUAACAC
rnacentral:rRNA from 1 species